UACGUAGGGACCAAGCGUUGUUCGGAUUUACUGGGCGUAAAGGGCGCGUAGGCGGCAAUUCAAGUCAUCUGUGAAAUCUCCGGGACUUAACUCGGAACGGUCAGAUGAUACUGCUUUGCUAGAGUGCGGAAGGGGCAAUCGGAAUUCUUGGUGUAGCGGUGAAAUGCGUAGAUAUCAAGAGGAACACCUGAGGUGAAGACGGGUUGCUGGGCCGACACGUGACGCUGAAGCGCGAAAGCCAGGGGAGCAAACGGG
rnacentral:rRNA from 1 species